UCGUCGUUCUCUACUAUUGCAGCACCUACGACCACAGCAAACGGGGUCCUCUACUCCGUCUAGCUGUUAAUGACACGGUCGCUGCCUUAGCGUUUUCCCGUUUUGUCAUUCGUUGUUAUUAGUUAUUCUUUUAGUUUUUUCCCCCCUCGUAGUCUACGCUGACGACUAUAUCGCGUCAGGUUUACUCAACGUCACGUAACAAAACAUUACUGGUUUUUUAAAUUUUUAAGUUUUCACUAUUUCUCAUUCUGAUUUUUGUUGCCGUAGCAGAAACACAAGCAAGUGUACCUACGCCGCCCACACGAUUCGCCAAUUCAUUUUUAAAUUCAAGACUUAAAGCAACAUGUCUCAUCGUGACUGGGAUCAAUCAUGCAAAGUGUACAUUGGUAAUUUGGGUCAAAAUGGUACUAAACAUGAAAUUGAAGCAUCAUUCACAAAAUAUGGUCCGUUGAAAAAUACUUGGAUUGCUAGGAAUCCACCUGGUUUUGCUUUUGUUGAAUUUGAAGAUCCUAGAGAUGCCGAAGAUGCAGUCAGGGGACUUGACGGAACCCGUAUCUGUGGAGUUCGUGUACGUGUUGAAAUGUCUAGUAACCGACCUCGUGGUGGACGUGAUGGUCGUGGUGGUGGAGGAGGAGGUGAUCGCAGAGGUGGUGGUGGUGGUGGAGGAGGUGGUGGAUACAACAGAGGUCCUCCACGCUACAAUGAUAGGAAAAGGAUCAUUGGUUAUCGCCCAUACUAAAAAUUUAUCAUCCCAUCUUAUAAAAAAAACCUCACACUGACAAUAUGACUUGACCAACAAUUUUCGUACUUCGCUCCACCAAUUCUACUGAAUUGAAAUACCGUAACGUGUUAUUUAACAUCAUGCGGGCGGAAACAGCCUAUUCUACACUAUUCUACAAUAUUCUUCCAACGCCUCUACCCUACGAUCAACUCUUCACAAGCACUCGUAUGCUUUCUUGGCUGUUUUAACGUCUCCACUCACACUCUCCAUCUAAACAACAUAUGGUAUUAUUUAUUCUUUCAUUGAAAAUUGAGAGUUGUAAGUUAAAAGAUCACGAUCGCGAUCUCCCAAACGUCGUGCACCGCCAUCACGGUCACGUUCAAGGAGCUACUCACCAAGACAGCGUCGUACGUCACAUUCCUAAGAUAACAAUUUUAAACAGCGAUGAUACAGGUUUC
rnacentral:misc_RNA from 1 species